AGUUGAGUUAUAUUUCAAUUUUCGCGCAAUUUAAGUGAGUAUGAAACCAUGUCACUCAGCCAAUCAGGAAAUCGUUAAAGUUCAACAUUUAGACGAAUCAAUGCGUAUGGCGUUAGUCUAUUGUCAAAAAUCAUAGAGAGAAAUUGCGUUAUAUCGAUAAAUUAUAUAGAUAUAUCGUAAUUUGUGGAAUUUAAUAUUUAUUGAAUUGAUGGUUUAAUUUAUAGAUUAUUAGUAUUUUUUUUUAAAUUAACAUAUCAUUUGUGCAGUUUAAUUAAAUAAUGGAGAUUAAAUAAUUAAUGGAAUGAUUUCAAAAGUGUGAUAGGUUAUGUAUCACGACUUUCGUGCAACUAUGAAUAGAAAAUAUUUUGUUUUCGGGUAAUCGAUGAUUCAUGACUGUACAUCGCUCGACAUAUUUCGAUGAACUUCAAGCAUAUCUUCUUCGUUCAAUUCGAUAAUCGAAAUCGCAGUGUCAGAGAUGUCAUUUUUCCGUCAAAAAUCGUGUUUUUGGAUGUUUCGCUUCAGAUUCCAUUUUCCUCUAUUUUUUUUGGCAUUUCCAUGGAUCAGCAUCGCUGGCAAUACGUAAUUUUUCCCAUUUAAUGGUCAAUCUUAUGCAUUUUUGUUCCUUUAAUCAUUCGUCGUAGUUUAUUACGAAAGGUCCAAAGCGAUAUGAGUGACUAUUUAUAUACGUAGAUUUUUACACAGGGACCGCGGAUAUUUAUUAUAUUAUAUU